rnacentral:ncRNA from 1 species
UUAAUCAGUAGAGGCGCGCUGCCUAUCAGUACCCGUGCGAGGAUGAUCCCGAUGAUGCCGGAGAAAGGAGUCAGCGCCGAAGUCACUUGAGCCAUCAUGCCAAGUGGCUGGGUCUGUGUCGAAUAGGCACAGAACUGCCAUAGUAUUAAUUCCUAUGGAGCGCUACCUGAAGG